rnacentral:lncRNA from 1 species
GCAUAAGCAGAGGAGCACCAUACUGUGGAUGAAUAGUCACUACUUCAACUGGAGCAUGUGUAUAUGAUGGAGAGAGUUCGAAGGUGAACUUUUGUAGUAUCAUUGCUAUUGCCAUUUUUGCUUCCAUCAUUGCAAAGUUUUGUCCAAUGCAAAUUCGGGGACCCCAACCAAAUGGAAUAAACGAGACUUGUCCAUUUGUUGCCUUUGACACUCCUUCACUGAAUCUUUCAGGUUUGAAUUCCUUCGCCUCUUCACCCCAUAAUUCCUUGUUAUAAUGUACUAAGAUUGCGGGUAUAACGAGUAGUACUUCAGCUGGUAGACUCAGCUCACCCAAUUUAACUUCAUCUUUGUUCCUUCUACCAUAUAUCAGUGCUGGGGGGAAUAGCCUUAACGUCUCGUACAAGAUCAUUGUCACCUAAGGAAAACAAACAUGUAUUACAUAAGUUGGCAGUAGAAUUAGUGCACUAAUGAGAGAAAUUGUGAAAAGUACUUACAAUUUUUAGACGACUAAGUCCUUCAAAAUCUGGUUUUUCAUUUCCGAAUACAUUCAAAACCGCCUCUCUGGCACGUACUUGCCACUCUCGAUGUAGGCACAGUAAUAUCAUCAAAAUAGAAUAACUUGCACUCUUCGAUUACUUCUGUUAUUGUCAAUCCGAAAUCUUUGCUUCCGUGUUGUUCAAUUUCUUUCGUAUUGGAUUCAAGUAAUAUGCCUAAUAAAUCUUCAUUAUUAGUCUCCCCUGCUUGCAUCGCCAUCAAUCUUUUGUCAAUGAUACACCUAAUUGUCGUUUGAAUUUCCUUUUCGAUUUCCAGCAUUCUUUUCUUCUUCUUACUAGGGAAGAACCUAAAAAUAAAAUUUUAAGUAAAUUUCUAUGCUAUGAACUAUGAAGUAGAAAUUUGCUCGAAUGCAUUAAUAUUGUACGUACCUCGACCCUGGUAUAUAAAUCGAAAAAACUUGUUCCAUUACAUACUCAGCUUGUUCUUUCUGAAGUUCAAAUACUAUUCUCCCUUCUUCAUAGCUACUCCCAAAUGCAGUUCGAGAAAUGACUUCACCGGUCAUUAGUUGAAAGUGUGGCCAUACAUCGAGCUCGACUGAUGUUUCCUUUGGAACAGCCUCCUCCCAUUUGCUUAGCAUUUCACUACAACUCUGAUAAAAUGCUAGAACCAUAUGCUGUUACUUAGACAGGUUAAUCACUCAUGAUCACUAUACUAGCUAUACGCAAAAAGAAAAAAAUAGUAAUAUGUAUAACCUUUAGUUUCUCAAAAUGGAAGGCGGGAUUGAUGAUUUUUCUAUAUUUAGCCCAUUUCUGUUCCUCAAGGGUAACGAGACCUCGAACCAAUAACUUCGCGAAUGGAUUAGAAUGCUUAUUCUUGUUAUACACAUAAUGUUUUUCAAAAAUUAUCUUUAUAAGUGAAGGUUCUGUGAUGAAUACUAUAGGCUUGGGGCCUAGCCAGGCAAAAGAAUUUUUACCUGCAGAGUAUUUAGCAGUUUUGUGUUAGUAAAAAAAGCAGGGCUUAUACUAAACCUAAAUCAAACUCUAUAUCGAGUAUCCAGAAUCCAUAAACUCAAAAUCUUAGCUCCAUCCUGGGUACAAACGUUUUACAAGAAGAACUAUACUAUGCCACAAUACUUCAACUAGAGGAGCGACCAGUUGGUUCACCAAACCCCAACCUAGCGUCACAUGUUCUCUUCAAAUACAAGGAGAUCUAGAGACAAACUACCGACUCCUCCAAAAAUUACAUUAUUAAGCGAAAAAUAAUUGUUAGUGGACCACCACCACUUUUUAACAAUUGCAUGAAGUCGAAGACAUAAUUCCGUAGAUAAAAGUUUGCUCCCUUUAAUAGUUUGCAUGAUCACACAUUUAAACAUGAUAUCAGAUCAGGAAAAGCAAAGAUUGGAUUCAUGUCUUAUAUAAAAAAAAAUAUAUGUGAUUGGUCCAUGAAAAGAAUAUGAUUAUGCAGACAUGAUAUCAGAUCAGGCAAGGAAGAAAAAUAAGUAAUAAAAAAAAAAAUUAAAAACUAGAUUGUUGUAGUUACCAUUUUGUUGAUGGAGUCACAGAAAAAAGGGAUGAGCCUUUGAGGUACAUCAUCAGAGAAAUUGAUAGGCUUAGAUUUGGCUUCAUUGAGUUUAUUUGUAAGCUCUUUCAAAUCUCCAUAGAGUAAUUUGUAUGGAUUUCCCUUAAGACCACUCUUUCUUAAGUAUUUCUCAAGUUUUUUUGGGCUUCGUCCUAUACUCAUAUACAAACAUUUAUGCCUUUGGUUUUCUAUAGACACUUUUUCUUUUGAAUUUUCUAUAAAAAAAUUUUAAAUAUUUGCUUUAUGUUAUAUCAUGUAUUCAGAAUAGUAAAUCAGAAAUACUGAGUCCACAUAAUUCACUAUGUGUUCUUAAGAAAUUUAAUCCACUCAAUGUACCCGAGGUUGUGGAUUAUUGCCUCCCAGGAUAAAAUGGAUAUACCUAUUAAAAAAGUAGUGGUACCUCACACUUCAAUAACUUCAGCAAACUCAAAAGUCAGCAACGAAAUCAUCAUACAUAUUAAAGAAGUAGUGAUACCUCACACUUUAGCAACAAAAUCAUACAUAUUAAAGAAGUAGUGGUACCUCACACUUUAAUAAUUUCAGCGAACUCAAAAGACAGCAACGAAAUCACACAAUGACUCUACUUUAAGGAGAAAAUUCCAACAAAAUACUUGGUUUGUAAGAAAAUACGUGUAUGCAGAAGAAGGAAAAAAAUUGAUAUGAUGGUGCGGUGUGAACUCACAUGUUCAGAAUAGGCAUGUCGAUGCCGAGGCCGAGCGAGCGACGAUGAUGCGAGGGCACCCUCUCCUUAGCCCUUUAAGGGGUAAAGGAAGUGUUUCACUAAACAUAAAUUCGAUUGCUAAGAAAAAAAAUUAAAAUCAAUCAAAAGCUAAAUAACCUUGAUAACAUUAACAAAACUGCAGUUAAUGUUUUAAAUUCGAAGCAUGACUUCCGCGAUCACCCAACAAUUUAGUAUCGAUCAUUUGAAUGAUGCAUGUAGAUCAACGUACAACGCAAAUGACGUACAUAUCAUCUUAAAGUUUGCGCAUAAGCAGAGGAGCACCAUACUGAGGAUGAAUAGACACUACUGCAACUGGAGCAUGUGUAUAUGAUGGUGAGAGUUCAAAGGAGAACUUUUGUAGUAUCAUUGUUAUUGCCAUCUUUGCUUCCAUCAUUGCAAAGUUUUGUCCAAUGCAAAUUCGGGGUCCCCAACCAAAUGGAAUAAACGAGACUUGUCCAUUUGUUGCCUUUGACACUCCUUCACUGAAUCUUUCAGGUUUGAAUUCCUUCGCGUCUUCACCCCAUAAUUCCUUGUUAUAAUGUACUAAGAUUGCGGGUAUAACGAGUAGUACUUCAGCUGGCAGACUCAGCUCACCCAAUUUGACUUCAUCUUUGUUCCUUCUACCAUAUAUCGGUGCUGGGGGGAACAACCUUAACGUCUCGUACAAGAUCAUUGUCACCUAAGGAAAACAAACAUGUAUUGCAUAAGUUGACAGUAGAAUUAUUUCACUUAUGAGAAAUUCUGAAAACUACUUACAAUUUUGAGACGACUUAGUCCUUCAAAAUCUGGUUUUUCAUUUCCGAAUACAUUCAAAACCUCCUCUCUUGCACGUACUUGCCA